rnacentral:rRNA from 1 species
ACACGUAGGGGCCUGACGUUGUUCGGAAUCAUUGGGCGUAAAGGGCGCGCAGGCGGCCGUCCAAGUCCGGUGUUAAAUGGUCGGGCUCAACCCGAUCAUGCGCUGGAAACUGGGCGGCUGGAGUCCCGGAGGGGAUGCCGGAAUUCCAGGGGUAGGGGGGAAAUCUGUAGAUAUCUGGAAGAACACCGAUGGGGAAGGCAGGCAUCCGGCCGGAGACGGAGGCUGAGGCGCGAAGGCGCAGGGAGCAAACAGGUUUAGAUUCCCUGGUAGUCCGCGCAGUAAACGAUGCGCACCAGGUGUCGGGCGGCAGCGCCCGGUGCCGGAGCAAACGCGAUGAGUGCGCCGCCUGGGGAGUAUGCCCGCAAGGGUGAAACUCAAAUGAAUUGACGGGG